UUACAUUACUGUUGAUAAAUGUAUGUAUGAGAUAUGUAAGUUCAUGAAUGUAUAUGAGAUAGAUAUGAAAAACGGAUAAUGUACAAAGUAAGACCAAAUAAUAACUAAGUUGGCCAAGAAAUCUUCCAAUCAAAUGAUUAAAUUAGUACUGGUGUAAUUUUAAAAAUUACAUCAUAACUCUCCACUAAGGCGAUUAUUUAAGAAGUUUUAAACAUUUACAUUGUUGACUAUGUUAACAUAAGAAUGAUGCAUUUGAUUUAAGAGAUCUUCUUAAAGCAAUUAUUAAAACAUGAGAUGUUGUGAAUAUGUAAAUACUUUAAUGAUCAAGAAUUGAUGUACCUGAGAUCAUUAAAACAAGUUUGCAUGCUUACUGACUUAGGGGACUUAACUUAACUGAUGCAAGAUAAACCAAGAAUGGAUGUACCUGAGAUUUUGAG
rnacentral:misc_RNA from 1 species